AGACGUGCGUACUGUGCGCACAUCCCGUCUACAUGGUCACAAGGCAUGGCUUACCUGUGUGUCCCAUCAUGCCUAGACAAGCACAGUCUGUACGCGCGUCCCAUCGCACACAGAUGAGUGUAGUCUACGUGCGCGUCCCAUCAUGCGCAGACGAGUGCGACUUCGAGCGCCCUGUGCAUGUGUCGUCUGCGCAAUCAAACUACGAACAAUGGCCUGCACUUGGUAAGACAGCAGGCAGUGCCUUGCGCACUUAGAGGCCUGCACGCUUGAUAGGCUAGGCCUGUGUGCACGACAGGCUAGGCUUACGCGUAACAAACUAGGUCAGCACACGCAGAAGGCUAGGCCUGCAACAUGGUGCUAGCUGAGGCGACAUGCGAUUGCCUCAGGCAAUGUGUAUU
rnacentral:lncRNA from 1 species